CCCGAUGACGAAGGUGGGCACUCUCCGACUUGAUGAGGAUGUGGGGCGAGGAGCCAGAGG
rfam:Pyrococcus abyssi GE5 complete genome; segment 4/6